UAUGGUAAUUGCCAGCAGCCGCGGUAACACGUAGGUCACAAGCGUUGUCCGGAAUUACUGGGUGUAAAGGGAGCGCAGGCGGGAAGACAAGUUGGAAGUGAAAUCUAUGGGCUCAACCCAUAAACUGCUUUCAAAACUGUUUUUCUUGAGUAGUGCAGAGGUAGGCGGAAUUCCCGGUGUAGCGGUGGAAUGCGUAGAUAUCGGGAGGAACACCAGUGGCGAAGGCGGCCUACUGGGCACCAACUGACGCUGAGGCUCGAAAGUGUGGGUAGCAAACAGG
rnacentral:rRNA from 1 species